AGAAGAAGCCUGAGGCGCUUGGUGGCAGCCACGCUGAGGGCCUCUCCCACCAGGGCAAAGCGGCCAAGCUGCUCGGUGAAGACGUAGCAGGCCCCGGCCUCCAGCUGGCAGUAGUAGAGGACUGCUUUUUGAGGCGCAGGCUCCAGCUGUCGGGACUGGGCUCUCCGCAGUGAUCCAUGGCCAGGAUGACCGGUCGGAUACCCAAUACCACAGGAACUAGCCAGACCCAUGAGUUUCCUCUUCAGCCACCCUUGUCUGGGGACAGGGGUGCUUCAAGGACUGCCAUACUGUCCCACCACCCACAUAGGCACGACUCUGAGUCAGGGAGACUCCAAGAACAUCUGAGCUGAUGGGGACCAACUCACCUCACUGAGCUAUGAGGAUUUCUCAUACCCUGUCCUGAAGGAUGUAUGAGGCACAGACAGCAACAACAGAUGAGCCAGGAGAAAAGUAAAUGAGGACGAGGACCAGCAGCAGCAAGAUGAGGCACACGGCCACGGCGACAAGGCCGAUGUAGAGGGCCACGUCCUCAGGGCCAGAAGCAGCUGCAAGAGUAAGCAUGGCCUUGAGAAUAGCAGGGAUGAAGGGGCUUCAGAAGAGAGGCCCAUGGUUUAUUCCCCAGGAGCAUAGGAUCUCAGCACUCCCUGGGCACUGGGCAUGUGGCAGGGAGCACGGUAUUGGUGUGUACGUUCUAGUCCUAUAUCUGCCACAACCUUGCAUGGGACUGAACAAGUCAUGCCCUCACAGGUAUAAGAUUUGGCCUGAGGUUACCAGGAGAGUGGAGGAAGGGAAGUGGUUUAUCCUUGGCUCCUAGGCUGGGGGUCAGGGUGGCUGGUGCAAGGUGAACUCCUGGGGCACCAUAAGUAUGGCGCUAUAGUUUGCAUAUGCCUGCCUAAGGAUUCAUAUAGGACAGGCGUGGUCCCCACUGUGACAGUGUGAGCAGCAGUGG